GCUCAAGGGAGUCGUUUCAGAAAAGGCGUCACACUUCAAAGCCCUGGGGUCAGCCCCAGCAGCAAGCAGCAAGAAGCUGGGAAUCCUGCCCAUGGCAAUAACUAGAUCAGGCUGUAGAUUUGUCAAACUCGGAGACCAAAUUGGAACUUUGUCGUAUUGAUAUCAACCAUCAAGAUCACUGAAAAAUCACUCAAGAUUGAUUCAGAUUAUAUAGAGAAUAUACUACUCUGUUAUACUGAACAUAUCAUAUAUGGUCUUUGAUUUUCCUUUUCAUUGUGUUUGAAAUCUACAUCUGUAUCUCAUUUAAUCAUGUAAUCAAUUUACUUUCUUUAUGUAACUGCUUGCAUUGCCUCCUGUGGUCAUUAGAGCUGCUGGAUGAGUACGCUUUGCUUUUAUUGUGGGGCCUUUAUUAUUUUUCUUCCAACAUUAUUUUUUGUUAAUUAUGUUACUUCUGUGGUGAGAAAUGAAAUUA